AUACCGUGAUGAGGACAUUUUCUUUGCAAGUCUUUGAACCUUUCCAAUGCUUCAUAGAGAGUCUCUCCAUCAAACUGAGUGAAACUGGUGAUGUCAUGCCUCAAUUU
rfam:Nelumbo nucifera unplaced genomic scaffold scaffold00136, whole genome shotgun sequence